rnacentral:tRNA from 1 species
GGCCGAGUGGCGGAAUGGUAGACGCUGGGGAUUUAAAAUCCCCUGUCUGUUCAGGACGUGCGGGUUCGAGUCCCGCCUUGGCUA